rnacentral:rRNA from 1 species
AUUGAACGCUGGCGGCAUGCCUUACACAUGCAAGUCGAACGGCAGCAUAGAGGAGCUUGCUCCUCUGGUGGCGAGUGGCGAACGGGUGAGUAAAGCAUCGGAACGUACCGUGUAGUGGGGGAUAACGUAGCGAAAGUUACGCUAAUACCGCAUACGCACUGAGGUGGAAAGCAGGGGAUCGCAAGACCUUGCGCUAUACGAGCGGCCGAUGUCAGAUGAGCUAGUUGGUAGGGUAAAGGCCUACCAAGGCGACGAGCUGUAGCGGGUUUGAGAGGAGGAUCCGCCACACUGGGACUGAGACACGGCCCAGACUCCUACGGGAGGCAGCAGUGGGGAAUUUUGGACAAUGGGGGCAACCCUGAUCCAGCCAUGCCGCGUGAGUGAAGAAGGCCUUCGGGUUGUAAAGCUCUUUCGGCCGGGAAGAAAUCGCACAGGCUAAUACUCUGUGUGGAUGACGGUACCGGCAUAAGAAGCACCGGCUAACUACGUGCCAGCCGCCGCAGUAAGAC